rnacentral:lncRNA from 1 species
AUGAUAUCCGGGAUGUUGGGGUGGUUACCCCUCCUUUAGCCCAGAGUGGGGAGCAGCCCAGCUAGCAAGGUAGCCAGAGAGCAAGAAUGGGUCAGCCAACUAGGAGAGGGGGGCCCUGGCCUUCUUCCUAGUGGUGGUGCCGCAGGUCUGGGGCACUGAGCCUGGGGAGCUGUGGGGGAAGAAGGCAGGAAAACUCUUUCUGGCAUCCUUAAGUCAGUUUCUUUCAGGAGCUUCUGUCUGCACACAGGAGUACCUGGCCGUAGUCGAUGCUCCUCCCCUGGACCUCCGGUUCAACCCCUCGGGCUACCUCUUGCUGGCUUCAGAAAAGGAUGCUGCAGCCAUGGAGAGCAACGUGAAAGUGCAGAGGCAGGAGGGAGCCAAAGUUUCUCUGAUGUCUCCUGAUCAGCUUCGGAACAAGUUUCCCUGGAUAAACACAGAGGGAGUGGCUUUGGCGUCUUAUGGUGAGGCUUGCUUGCAGAGGGGACAGCUUUUUUCCUGAAGAUGGAGACUAAGGGGUGCUACACGUUGGGAGUCUCGGUACUCCACAGCCAAGCUGAAGGAGGAACACUUCCCUCCUGUGUCA